AAGAAGUUUGUCAAAGCACAUAAUCGUUACUCAAGGUUGCAAGAUGAACUGAAACGAUCGCAAGUCCGACUUCAACAGUUGGGAGAUCAGCUGGGGCCAGAUGUUAAUAAAAUUGGUGCCAAUGAAGAAGACUCAAGUAUCAAUAUUGUGAGCGAUGGAGAGGACCCUGGUUAUCAUACGUCAGGCCCUUUUCAUGACCUGCAAAAAGACACUUCUGUAAGCAAGAGGAAGAUGCAUGCUGUUCAAGAUACUGCAGAGAACUCAAAUCGAGCUGAUUUAAACAAAGGAAAUAAAGAGGCAGUGGUGAGAAGGAUCUCUCGGUGGAAUGCCCAUCCUGCUAAAUCAGUAUAUAGCAAAAUUGAAGCGGUCGGCAGUGAAAUCAGUGAUCUGAUACCUGCAGCAAAUGAAAGCAGGCAGAAGAGGGGAAGGACAUCUAGUAGUGUUUCUACUGCGGACAAGGUUAGGGGUCUAGAGUCAGGUGUUG
rnacentral:misc_RNA from 1 species